AAGUUGCAACAUUGAAAUACAGAAAUAUAUAUAUUUUUUCCAUAAACAAGCUCUAAAUCAUGUUUGAUGCACUCUGGAUGUCCAAUUUUUGCUGUGCUGUCUAUUUGAGAUGAAAUGAACAUUGUGGACAGUUUUCAGCAAGUUGCAACAUUGAAAUACAGAAAUAUAUAUUUUUUCCAUAAACAAGCUCUAAAUCAUGUUUGAUGCACUCUGGAUGUCCAUUUUUUGCUGUGCUGUCUAUUUGAGAUGAAAUGAACACUUUGGACAGUUUUCAGCAAGUUGCAACGUCAAAAUACAGAAAAAAAAUGUUUUCCAUGAACAAGAUCUAAAUCAUGUUUGAUGCACUCUGGAUGUCCAAUUUUUGCUGUGCUGUCUAUUUGAGAUGAAAUGAACAUUGUGGACAGUUUUCAGCAAGUUGCAACAUUGAAAUACAGAACAAGGAAAAAAAUCCAUAAACAAGCUCUAAAUCAUGUUUGAUGCACUCUGGAUGUCCAAUUUUUGCUGUGCUGUCUAUUUGAGAUGAAAUGAACACUUUGGACAGUUUUCAGCAAGUUGCAACAUUGAAAUACAGAAAAAAAAUGUUUUCCAUGAACAAGCUCUAAAUCAUGUUUGAUGCACUCUGGAUGUCCAAUUUUUGCUGUGCUGUCUAUUUGAGAUGAAAUGAACAUUGUGGACAGUUUUCAGCAAGUUGCAACAUUGAAAUACAGAGAAACAUUUUUUUCCAUAAACAAGCUCUAAAUCAUGUUUGAUGCACUCUGGAUGUCCAAUUUUUGCUGUGCUGUCUAUUUGAGAUGAAAUGAACACUUUGGACAGUUUUCAGCAAGUUGCAACGUCGAAAUACAGAAAGAAAAAAAAAUUCCAUGAACAAGCUCUAAAUCAUGUUUGAUGCACUCUGGAUGUCCAAUUGUUGCUGUGCUGUCUAUUUGAGAUGAAAUGAACAUUGUGGACAGUUUUCAGUAAGUUGCAACGUCGAAAUACAGAAA